rnacentral:rRNA from 1 species
CCUACGGGGGGCAGCAGUGGGGAAUAUUGCGCAAUGGGCGAAAGCCUGACGCAGCGACGCCGCGUGAGGGAUGAAGGUCUUCGGAUCGUAAACCUCUGUCAGCAGGGAAGAACGGUCACUGUGCUAAUCAGCAGUGAAUUGACGGUACCUGCAAAGGAAGCACCGGCUAACUCCGUGCCAGCAGCCGCGGUAAUACGGAGGGUGCGAGCGUUAAUCGGAAUUACUGGGCGUAAAGCGCUCGUAGGCGGUAUGUUAAGUCAAGGGUGAAAUCCCCGCGCUCAACGUGGGAACUGCCUUUGAAACUGGCAAACUGGAGUGUGUGAGAGGAUAGUGGAAUUCCAGGUGUAGGAGUGAAAUCCGUAGAUAUCUGGAGGAACAUCAGUGGCGAAGGCGACUAUCUGGAACAUAACUGACGCUGAGGAGCGAAAGCGUGGGUAGCAAACAGGAUUAGAUACCCUGGUAGUC